UACGGAGGGUGCGAGCGUCGCUCGGAAUUAUUGGGCGUAAAGCGCACGUAGGCGGCUUAGCAAGUUGGAUGUGAAAGCCCUCGGCUUAACCAAGGAAGUGCAUCCAAAACUGCUGAGCUUGAGUAGUUAAGAGGAUCGCGGAAUUCCCGGUGUAGAGGUGAAAUUCGUAGAUAUCGGGAGGAACACCAGUGGCGAAGGCGGCGAUCUGGGAACAUACUGACGCUGAGGUGCGAAAGCGUGGGGAGCAAACAGG
rnacentral:rRNA from 1 species